rnacentral:rRNA from 1 species
AGUGAACGCUGGCGGUAGGCCUAACACAUGCAAGUCGAACGGCAGCACAGUAAGAGCUUGCUCUUACGGGUGGCGAGUGGCGGACGGGUGAGGAAUACAUCGGAAUCUACUUUUUCGUGGGGGAUAACGUAGGGAAACUUACGCUAAUACCGCAUACGACCUACGGGUGAAAGCAGGGGAUCUUCGGACCUUGCGCGAUUGAAUGAGCCGAUGUCGGAUUAGCUAGUUGGCGGGGUAAAGGCCCACCAAGGCGACGAUCCGUAGCUGGUCUGAGAGGAUGAUCAGCCACACUGGAACUGAGACACGGUCCAGACUCCUACGGGAGGCAGCAGUGGGGAAUAUUGGACAAUGGGCGCAAGCCUGAUCCAGCCAUACCGCGUGGGUGAAGAAGGCCUUCGGGUUGUAAUGCCCUUUUGUUGGGAAAGAAGAGCAGCAGGUUAAUACCCCGCUGUUCUGACGGUACCCAAAGAAUAAGCACCGGCUAACUUCGUG